rnacentral:rRNA from 1 species
AUUGAACGCUGGCGGCAGGCUUAACACAUGCAAGUCGAGCGGAGUGAUGGUGCUUGCACUAUCAUUUAGCGGCGGACGGGUGAGUAAUGCUUAGGAAUCUGCCAUUUAGUGGGGGACAACAUUCCGAAAGGAAUGCUAAUACCGCAUACGUCCUACGGGAGAAAGCAGGGGAUCUUCGGACCUUGCGCUAAAUGAUGAGCCUAAGUCGGAUUAGCUAGUUGGUGGGGUAAAGGCCUACCAAGGCGACGAUCUGUAGCGGGUCUGAGAGGAUGAUCCGCCACACUGGGACUGAGACACGGCCCAGACUCCUACGGGAGGCAGCAGUGGGGAAUAUUGGACAAUGGGCGGAAGCCUGAUCCAGCCAUGCCGCGUGUGUGAAGAAGGCCUUUUGGUUGUAAAGCACUUUAAGCGAGGAGGAGGCUCUCCUAGUUAAUACCUAGGAAGAGUGGACGUUACUCGCAGAAUAGGCACCGGCUAACUCUGUGCCAGCAGCCGCGGUAAAAC